ACGGAAUAGAUACCCAGGUAGUCCCAGCCGUAAACGAUGCUCGCUAGGUGUCAGGCAUGGCGCGACCGUGUCUGGUGCCGCAGGGAAGCCGUGAAGCGAGCCACCUGGGAAGUACGGCCGCAAGGCUGAAACUUAAAGGAAUUGGCGGGGAGCACAACAACGGGUGGAGCCUGCGGUUUAAUUGGACUCAACGCCGGACAACUCACCGGGGGCGACAGCAAUAUGUAGGCCAAGCUGAAGACUUUGCCUGAAUCGCUGAGAGGAGGUGCAUGGCCGUCGCCAGUUCGUACUGUGAAGCAUCCUGUUAAGUCAGGCAACGAGCGAGACCCGUGCCCACUGUUACCAGCAUGUCC
rnacentral:rRNA from 1 species